rnacentral:lncRNA from 1 species
UCUAAAUGGAAGCCCAGUUUAUUUUAUCCAUAGGACAGCUGAAAGAGUAAGAAAUAUUUGAGGUCUGAGCUUGCAUUUGAAACCAACUUCAAUUUCUCUCUAACCAUCAGGAAAGCUCAAACUGUACUUUAGAAAAGUCACCUAUGAUGUAUCUUCAAAGACUUCAAAGUAAUUAGGAGGUCUACAGAAGCUCCAGGAGAUCAAGUUUCAAAUGCUCUCUCUCCCCACAAAUUUGUUUUAGAAAUAAGGCCAGAAAAAGUUCUCAGGGAACAUUUUCUUUUCCCUAGUUUGACAGUGAGAAUAAUGCAUUUUACCACAUUUUCUUUUCCCUUUUGACCCAUAGGAAACUCACAGCCAAAUUGUGGCACAUCCUUAAUAUCUACAUGGAAGCCUGUAUCCUGCAGAUAACUUUCCACUAAUCUUGACUUUUGGUCCUAUAUUAUAAUUUGCUUACUCCUUAAUUUUCAUUCUACUCUUUUUUUAAACAAAAAAUAUUUUUUAGUUGUAG